CGGCACGUAGCGCAGCCUGGUAGCGCACCGUCAUGGGGUGUCGGGGGUCGGAGGUUCAAAUCCUCUCGUGCCAA
rnacentral:tRNA from 2 species